AUGGGGACUAGCCCGGGUGGAUCGGCGUCACUUGUGACCUGAAAUCGUCGGAAUGCAGGGGGCGAAGUUUGAGGAAGGUUGGUACAUACGGCCUGUAUCUGUCGUGUUUCCGACGUAGAAACCCUGUCCUGUGAGGUCGGUGGCCAGGUAUCACACCUUCGGAGGAAGGAACGACCUGUUGUCGCGGGGACCGGUUCAGGCCCGGAAGGGAGCAGACUUACCGUGAACAUUCGGCGCCCAUGGGGUUGCGGGGCGGAGAAGGAGACCCUUGGAAAAGGCUGCAAUGACCGAUCGACCGAUAACGUGUCCCUAU
rfam:Methanospirillum hungatei JF-1, complete genome.